rnacentral:lncRNA from 1 species
UCACCUCUCCUAUUGCUCUAGUAUUCUCCCUUCCUUGCUCUUUUUUUUCCUUUUCUCUUUCUGCUUCAACCCUUUAUUUUUCUUUCUUGUUUCAUUCCUUCUUUUUUUUCCUCUCUUUUUCUUCCUCCUUUUUCUUCCUAAGAUCUUUUUCCUCUUCCCUCUGCUUGGCUACUCUUCUUUUUCUUCUCUUUGACUUUUUUUUUCCGUUCCCCUUUGACUCUUUUCUCUACCUCUACCCACUUUCUCUCUGCUUCUUGCUUUUUAUUGAAGCGAACUUCUUG